rnacentral:rRNA from 1 species
GAUGAACGCUGGCGGCGUGCCUAACACAUGCAAGCCGAGCGAACCGCUUAAAUUCGAUUUCUUCGGAAUGACGAGUUUUGUGACUGAGCGGCGGGCGGGUGAGUAACGCGUGGGUAACCUGCCUCAUACAGGGGGAUAACAGUUAGAAAUGACUGCUAAUACCGCAUAAGACCCCAGCUUCGCAUAAAGCGGUGGUAAAAAGUCCGGUGGUAUGGGAUGGACAUGCGCUUGAUGAGAUAGUUGGUAAGGUCACGGCUUACCAAGGCGACGAUCAGUAGACGAGCAGAGAGGGUGACCCGACACACUGGGACUGAGACACGGCCGAGACUCCUACGCGAUGGAGCAGUGGGGGAUAGUGCAAAAUGGGGGGAACGAUGAUGCUGCGACGCCGGGAGAAGGAUGAAGUUUGUCGGGAUGUAAAGUGCUAUCAGCAGGGAAGAAAGUGACGGUACCUGACCAAGAAGCCCCGGCUAACUACGUG